rnacentral:rRNA from 1 species
UUAAAUUGAAGAGUUGAUCAUGGCUCAGAUUGAACGCUGGCGGCAGGCCUAACACAUGC